rnacentral:rRNA from 1 species
AAACUUAAAGGAAUUGACGGGGACCCGCACAAGCGGCGGAGCAUGCGGAUUAAUUCGAUGCAACGCGAAGAACCUUACCAAGGCUUGACAUACACGAGAACGCCCUAGAAAUAGGGAACUCUUUGGACACUCGUGAACAGGUGGUGCAUGGCUGUCGUCAGCUCGUGUCGUGAGAUGUUGGGUUAAGUCCCGCAACGAGCGCAACCCUCGUUCUAUGUUGCCAGCACGUCAUGGUGGGAACUCAUGGGAUACUGCCGGGGUCAACUCGGAGGAAGGUGGGGAUGACGUCAAAUCAUCAUGCCCCUUAUGUCUUGGGCUUCACGCAUGCUACAAUGGCCGGUAACAAAGGGCUGCAAUACCGUAAGGUGGAGCGAAUCCCAAAAAGCCGGUCCCAGUUCGGAUUGAAGUCUGCAACUCGACCUCAUGAAGUCGGAGUCGCUAGUAAUCGCAGAUCAGCAACGCUGCGGUGAAUACGUUCCCGGGUCUUGUACACACCGCCCGUCAAGUCAUGAAAGUCGGUAACACCUGAAGCCGGUGGCCCAACCCUUGUGGAGGGAGCCGUCGAAGGUGGGAUCGGUAAUUAGGACUAAGUCGUAACAAGGUAGCCGUACCGGCAGGUGCGGCUGGAUCACCUCCUUUCUG